AAUCAUGACCCAAAGGUGGCUGUUUAUGCAAAGUCAGCCUUCCGUCGUCCCUUUCGGGAACAUUCGGCUAUUUAUGGCAAAACAACAUCACCUGACUUAUUUAUGACUCUUUUUAUCAUUUUUUCAAAUUAGAAAACUCAAUAUUGCAAGCACGGCCUUUCAACAUCUCGGGGACGAAGAUUUUUAAGGAUGUGUGGGCCAAUUGGACCAAAUCCAAAACAUGACCCAAAAAGGUGGCUGUUUAUGCAAAGUCAGCCUUCCGGCGUCCCUUUCGGGAACAUUCGGCUAUGUCUUGAUAAAACAGCGUCACCUGACUUCUUUAUGACAAAAUUAAAAUUUGACAUAUAUUUUUUAUUUAUUUUUUUUGGCUAUUUUAGCAAAAGGUGGGUUGGACAUCACCCGACUUAUUUAUGACAAGAUUAAAUUUUUUGAUUUUUGGCUAUUUUAGCAAAAGGUGGGGUUGGACCCGAUGAGGGUUGCCUACGUAUCUCACAUCCGGUGAGAAUCAAACCCGCGUAGUUCGGACAAAUAAGAAUAAGUAGGCAAAUAAUAAUAAGCAGAUGAACUAACUUUUUUUGAAUUUUCGUUUAAAAGAACUACUUUAAAAGAAGCGAGGAAAUAUUAUUUUUUGAUUGAUUUUCUUUUUAAA
rnacentral:lncRNA from 1 species